AGUCGAACGAUACUACCGGGCUUGCUCGGUAGGAAAGUGGCGCACGGGUGCGUAACGCGUAUGCAACCUACCUUAAUCAGGGGGAUAGCCCGAAGAAAUUCGGAUUAACACCGCAUAAAAUCACAGUACAGCAUUGUACAAUGAUCAAAUAUUUAUAGGAUUAAGAUGGGCAUGCGUGUCAUUAGUUAGUUGGCGAGGUAACGGCUCACCAAGACCACGAUGACUAGGGGAUCUGAGAGGAUGACCCCCCACACUGGUACUGAGACACGGACCAGACUCCUACGGGAGGCAGCAGUAAGGAAUAUUGGUCAAUGGAGGCAACUCUGAACCAGCCAUGCCGCGUGCAGGAAGACAGCCCUCUGGGUCGUAAACUGCUUUUAUUCGGGAAUAAACCUACUUACGUGUAAGUAGCUGAAUGUACCGAAGGAAUAAGGAUCGGCUAACUCCGUGCCAGCAGCCGCGGUAAUACGGAGGAUCCAAGCGUUAUCCGGAUUUAUUGGGUUUAAAGGGUGCGUAGGCGGCUUAUUAAGUCAGGGGUGAAAGACGGUGGCUCAACCAUCGCAGUGCCCUUGAUACUGAUGAGCUUGAAUACACUAGAGGUAGGCGGAAUGUGACAAGUAGCGGUGAAAUGCAUAGAUAUGUCACAGAACACCGAUUGCGAAGGCAGCUUACUAUGGUGUUAUUGACGCUGAGGCACGAAAGCGUGGGGAUCAAACAGGAUUAGAUACCCUGGUAGUCCACGCCCUAAACGAUGAAUACUCGCUGUUAGCGAUACACAGUUAGCGGCUAAGCGAAAGCGUUAAGUAUUCCACCUGGGGAGUACGCCCGCAAGGGUGAAACUCAAAGGAAUUGACGGGG
rnacentral:rRNA from 1 species